GACGAACGCUGGCGGCGUGCUUAACACAUGCAAGUCGAACGGUAAGGCCCUUCGGGGUACACGAGUGGCGAACGGGUGAGUAACACGUGGGUGAUCUGCCCUGCACUUCGGGAUAAGCCUGGGAAACUGGGUCUAAUACCGGAUAGGACCACUGCCUGCAUGGGGGGUGGGGGCAAGCUUUUGCGGUGUGGGAUGGGCCCGAGGCCUAUGAGCUUGUGGGUGGGGGGAUGGCCUACCAAGGCGACGACGGGGAGCCGGCCUGAGAGGGUGGCCGGCCACACUGGGACUGAGAUACGGCCCAGACUCCUACGGGAGGCAGCAGUGGGGAAUAUUGCACAAUGGGCGCAAGCCUGAUGCAGCGACGCCGCGUGAGGGAUGACGGCCUUCGGGUUGUAAACCUCUUUCAGCACCGACGAAGCGCAAGUGACGGUAGGUGCAGAAGAAGGACCGGCCAACUACGUGCCAGCAGCCGCGGUAA
rnacentral:rRNA from 1 species